AAGAAAGAAAGAGAAGGAAGGAAGGAAGAAAGGAAGGAAGAAAGGAAGGAAGGAAAACAUGCAAAUAGGCAAAGAAAUUUUAUAGAAUCUGAAAACUUCACUAUUAUUCAGAAGUGAGAAAGAGAAAUUUGACUUGAUAUAAAAUAUAGUGUGAUGAUUAAUUUUAUGUGUCAGCUUACUAAAUCAAGGGGUAGCCCAGGUAUUUGGUCAAACAUUCUUCUGUGUGUUCCUGUGAGGCUGUUUUUUCGAUGAGCUGAACAUUUAAAUUGAUAGACUUGAGUACAGCAAAUCACCCUCCCUAAUGUGGGUGGGGGCCUCAGUCGAUCUGUUGGAGGAAUCAAUAGAACAAAAAGACUGACCUUGUCCUAAAUAAGGGAGAAUUCCUCCUGCCUGACUGCCUUUGAACGGGGAUGUUGACUUUUUCCCACCUUCAGACUCAAAGUGAAACACUGGCUCUUCUAGGUCUCAACCCUGCUGGCCAUCAGAUUGGAAUGUAUACCAUUGACUCUCCUGGGUCUUAGAAUUCUCAACUCUCCCCGAAAAUCUUGCAACUUGUCAGCCUCCAUAAUGGCAUGAGCAGUUUCUUAUAAUAAAUCAAAUCUCUGUCUAUCUAUCUGUCUAUCUGUCUAUCUAUCUAUCCAUCCAUCCACCCACGCACACACAUCCUGUUGGUUCUGCUUCUCUGGAACAUGCUGAUGAAUACAUUUGGCAAUUAUUUGCACUCCGGAAAUAAUCAUAGUCACUCGAUCUAAGUUCAUCUUGUUUAUAGAGUCACUGUUUUCAAACUGGUUUGCCAUCACAUUAAUAAAAUAAAGAAACAAUCCUGAUAUGAGAGCAGUAGGUAUCCUGAUAUUCAUCAGUUUCUUUUCUUUCAGUUAUAUAACCUUUCUUGUUUUAAUCUUUUGGUUUCUUUAUGAACUCAGGUUUGGUGUUAUAUUUUUCCCUAUUUCAAAGGAGUAACUUGAUUGUCUUUUGGUGUGAUUUAUACACCGGGUGUCAGUAUGAUUCAAAUUGGGACAUCAGGGGAAAAGCAGGCUUAGGUAAAAUGAUUUUGUGACCUUGAAUUGGUCUUUACAUUUCUCUAGUAUUUCUACAUUUAUCUUUUAUUCAUCUUAUGGUAAGUUCGUUCUUACCAUAAGAUUCCUUCUAGCUCAAAGAUUCUGUAACAAAUAAAAUACGUGGUUUCUGCUUCCAAUAAAUUUGUCAUCGAGCUAGAGAGAAGAUAUUCUAGAUUGCAGUACAGGCAAAGGUUUUGCAGAGGCUUUGAGAAGACAGAGAUGGAGGAAAGUUGUGUGAUCAAGAAAAGCUCCUUGACAAGGAUGAGAUGCCCUUACAUGAUGGGAUGAAGAAAGAGCUUCCCAGAGAGGGGCAAUGUGAGUUGAGAGCCAAAAAAGUGGGAACUGGUUUCAAGACCAACGAUGUAUGCUGGGAAUCAUGUGUGGGGGUGGGCAGUGGAGACGGGGAGCAAUGAGUUGAGCCUAAAAUAGUGGCCCUCCAACCACUUUGCAACUGAGCAGAGAGUCCUGAUCUCUAGCAUCCACCAUGACUCAGUUACCUAUUCUAUGUAAUAGUGCCCAUGGGUUUAAGGUGAUGUCCAAUCCAUGAACUGCAUGGUGCCCUACACAUCUGCGUAGUGGGAAUCUAUGACAUCCCUGAGUGUUUGUUUAGCCAAUGUCAAACACCAAUCCAGUCCUUCCCCAAGAAAGUCUAUUUGUUUAAUGAAGUCUUUUGAAAUGUUAAAAUUCAAAAUUACGUGACAAAUUGGGUGAGUUGUAGGCAAAAUUUGUAAAACUCUGUAUAUGUCUGUUAACUCAUUGGAAAAUGGGAAAUUAAGACUUUUGUCAGCAUUAAACUAUCACCAAAAAUUAAAAUUAAUUUUAAUUUUUUAAAUUAAAUGUAAAACAAUUACAUUAAAAAUUUAUUUUUUUAAAGAAAGGAUUUUCCUCAAAAAAGGAACAUGUACAAAGAGUACACUAUUGAUUAACUAUCUUAAAAAAAAAAUCUAGAAGCAAAGUCUGCUCAUUGUCUGCCUCUUUUGUACAUUGAACUUUUCCCCUCCACACCCUUAGUGGACAAAUUCAUGUAACCAGCAUGUCAGCGAUAUAGGGCAUUAUCCCCAAGGGAGCAUUCACCGACAGGGCAGAAGAUAGAAACUGCUACUGAGUUUGAAAUGAGCUGCAUUAGACAACCCAGCUGAGAGCUUACUUCCUUUGGUUUGCAGCUGCCUACAGGAUGAUGUCAGUUGACAGAAGAUGGAAAGUUCUGUGUUUGAGUGCACCAGUUUCUUCAGCUUUGGAUUUUCAGCAGUGAAUUCAGCAGGCUGAAAGCCAUGUCACAAAUCCUGAUCAUUAAUUACCACCCACCCUGGGUGGAAAUCCAAUCCUACUAAUGAAAAAAGUUGUUCAAUACUUUGUUCCAACAAACAAAAGUCAUCCUUGCUUUUUUAACUGCAAUACUUCCCAGGGCACAUACACUGGAUGAAACAAUGGUGGGGCUGUCCACCAAGCCUUUUCAAACUGUGGAUUCAAACUCUUUCCAAUCUGAGGUUCUAUGGUGGCAAUGAAUCAUUGGAAAUAUGACGGAUUGAGCACUGUGCUGGAGGUGGAGGCUGUACCAUGUCCUUAGUAAAGUCAUUUUCCCACUAUGCAUCAAGAUUUCGUCCUCUGCAAAAUGAAGAAGCUGAGAGCUUUCUUCCCUUGGUGGUGAGGGUGGGGCUCUGGCUCCAGCUCCUUCUACCUGGCGAGUGUGACUGCACCACAGUAGUGUCAGCGAAUGGCUACUGGAGAGAAGGCAGAGGCUCGGAGAAAAGCAUCUGUCUUCCAGCAAUUGAAUAACACCUCUUCUCGCCCUGCUCAGUCUGGCUGCCCCAUUUGGCAGUCACUUGCAAACUACUGCUGUGUUUCCAUCUGUCAAAUCCCAGCAGAACAUCAGGGAUAGAGGGUGUGAAGUGUGGAUGCUUCUUCCGUGUUUUUUUUUUUUUUUUUUUUUUUCCCCCACUAAUGGCUGUCAGGGAUGGAAGUGUUGGAAGACCUUUUCAAAAGUCCCUUCUGAAAUACAUAAAAAUAUCUAGAGUUCAUUAGAUAAUUGCUUCAUAGAAUACAGGGUUACCACCACCAUUCUUGUAGCCAGUGACACUGUCUGAUUUAUCCAAAGGGGUAAGAAGUCAUUGCAGAUGAGUUAAUCACUUGGAAUAGAGCAGCAGAUGCCAGAUAUCUAAUGAGCAGCGAGGCUUUUCUGUAUUUUAAGGUUUUUAAAGUACACACACACACAUACACAUCAGCUCUGCUGUAUAAAAGUGAUUCACAAUACAUGAAAUCAUGAUUGUUUCAAAAUAAAUUCAAAAUGACUGA